rnacentral:lncRNA from 1 species
GCGGCACAUCUCCAGCCCACAGGCGGCACUGAAGAGCAUUUUGUUUCAUUCUCAAACAACUGCUAGCAUUUACACAUGGGCAAACCUCGACUAUGUGCGAUAUUACGUCUCUGCUGGGAAGCAUGGGAAACAUGGAUGCAGGAAACCAGACUGGCUGUACCUUUCCCCACUCGUGCCUGGCUCCUGUCACCGAAUUAAAUCAGACAUAUCUGGAAAACUGGACUCUCUGGAGGAAUGGUUUGGGGGGCUGAAAUCCCUGGCUGUCCUAGAGCCUGAGGCGGGGCUGUACCCUCCCCCUUCAUUUGCCUCUUGGAGAGCUACCCUUCCC